GAUGAACGCUGGCGGCGUGCCUAAUACAUGCAAGUCGAGCGAACGGACGAGAAGCUUGUUGCUCUGACGUUAGCGGCGGACGGGUGAGUAACACGUGUAUAACCUCCUUAUAAGACUGGGAUAACUUCGGGAAACCGGAGCUAAUACCGGAUGAUAUUUUGAACCGCAUGGUUCAAAAGUGAAAGACGGUCUUGCUGUCACUUCUAGAUGGAUCCGCGCUGCAUUAGCUAGUUGGUAAGGUAACGGCUUACCAAGGCAACGAUGCAUAGCCGACCUGAGAGGGUGAUCGGCCACACUGGAACUGAGACACGGUCCAGACUCCUACGGGAGGCAGCAGUAGGGAAUCUUCCGCAAUGGGCGAGAGCCUGACGGAGCAACGCCGAGUGAGUGAUGGAGGUCUUCGGAUCGUAAAACUCUGUUAUUAGGGAAGAACAUAUGUGUAAGUAACUGUGCACAUCUUGACGGUACCUAAUCAGAAAGCCACGGCUAACUACGUG
rnacentral:rRNA from 1 species